rnacentral:misc_RNA from 1 species
GUAGGUGAACCUGCGGAAGGAUCAUUACUGAGUGAGGGCCCUCUGGGUCCAACCUCCCACCCGUGUUUAUUGUACCUUGUUGCUUCGGUGCGCCCGCCUCACGGCCGCCGGGGGGCUUCUGCCCCCGGGCCCGCGCCCACCGAAGACACCAUUGAACUCUGUCUGAAGAUUGCAGUCUGAGCAUAAACUAAAUAAGUUAAAACUUUCAACAACGGAUCUCUUGGUUCCG